rnacentral:lncRNA from 1 species
CAACAAUACAUCACCAGGUUGAUGAAUGGAGCCACUGGGCCUUUGACUGCCACACUUUGUCCAAAAGCAAUAACAGUAUUAGUUUGGUAUCUGUUUCCAGAGUAAAGGGUAUAUAUGGGGGUGGAGGAGAUAACGUAGAUGUGCCAUCAUAGCAAGGUAGAAGUCAUGGCAAUCAGCAUGGAAGGCUGGUUGAAUUUGGGAAGAAUCUACUUGGAUCAGCUAGGUUUUGUUGGGAUCAGCACCAUGGACAGAACCAUCACCUGGUCCAGAAGAACCAUACAAUAAUAGAGUCAUGGAGCAGGAGCCUAGAGGCCUGGGGGUUCUGACUGCUGCUAAAUUACCUUGAAAUCUUGGGCACCCGUUCUUCUUUAGACCUCAUCACAACCAUAUGUGUCAAGCAACAAACAAAAAUACAGCUUUUAAUUGCCUUAAUUAUUUUCCUUCUUUCCAGAUUUGUUUGGAAGUCUUUAAUGUGAUUAUACAUAGGAUUGACAGAAUUCUAGAAUUUCCUUGGAAAGCUAUGUGACUUUGAUUCUUCCUAAUUUCACCUCCAAACUGGCCAUAUUUUCUAAUCCCUAAAUCCCAUUCUCCAAAUACCUGAGUUGCCUCAUGCUAAUUGGUAGUUCUACAGUGCCAAUUUCUGACUUACCCCAUGCAUUUUUACUAAUUACACAUUUUGCUCCUGCUUAGAUCCACACCUUGUGUCUUAGACUUGUAUAUAUUGCUGUUACAUGGUAAAAACUUUUAAAAACACUGAUGUGUUAAUUCCCUACCCAUUUUCCCAAAGACUAGCCCAAGUGCUCUUUUACUUGAAAAUCAAUUCUGGCAGGUGGAAGUGAUUUCUCACUUCUCUGAUCUCCUAGCACUUUUUAUUCCUCUUGUGAGCUCAUUGCAUUCUAAAUUGUAUUAUACAUGUGUGUGCAUACUUUAGCACUUCAACAAAAUUGUAAUUCUAUUGAAGGAAAGGACUGUUCUCCUAUUUACCACUACACCUUGGGUAGUACUCACCACAUUGUAUUACACAUAGUGGAUAUUGAAAAAAUGUCACGUUAAUUGUUGGAAGAGAUCUCAAAGAUCAUUUAUCAUUAUAUAUACACGAAGCAUGUAUCCUUCUCCAAUAUUAUUGCCUGUUGACUCAUUAUUGUAUUAUUCCAACUCCUAUUCACAAAAGUGAACAUUUCUUACUCUAAUAAAAUGUUUUCUUAAGGC